CCUGGGAGGCAGACUCGCGUGAGGAGGAGUGGCUCAAGAGCCGAGAGGCUGCAUCCGGCCGGCCCCUUCUCUCGAGGCCAGGCCCUCGGGGCUCGGGCCGGUAGCGAGCGCAGCAGCCUCGUGCCAGCAUCGCCGUCGGAACCCAGGCUCCGCGCGCGUGGCCUGGGGCAGGAACCGGCCACGCGCACGGGCUGGAGGGGGGCGUGCCCGCGGGGGAAGCCCCGCCCCCCGGAGCGCGCUCAUUGGUCCUUGGCCGCGCCGGGCCUCCGCCCAGUCCUCGCCCCUCCCUUCUUCCGGGCCUGGAGCCCCCCGCGCGCCGCGUCGGGACCGCGCUCGCUGGCUGGCAGGCUCGCAGGCUCGCUGGGCCGCGCGCUCCGGGACCGCCCGCCAGUCUGGUCGGGCGCGCGCUCGGCGGCGGCCCGACGACGCAGCAGCUCGCGAGCGCGGCGGCUCGCGCUCGGCUUUCCCCGGGUCCCGGAACGCGAUCGGCAGCCGGCGAGGGUGCAGCCCCGGAGCGCCGGUGAGGAGAGCGGGCCCGGGGAGGGGGACGCGGUGGCGGGGAGGAGGGCGGGCCUGGCAGCGGGGGGCGCGGGGGGGACGCGGCGGGGCCCGGGGCAUCGGGGAGGGAGGUGGGACGCGCCCGCCGCCACGUCGAGAGAAAGCGGAGCGGCCGAGGGAUGCGCGGCGGGCGCGGGUCCUGGAUGGGGAGGCGACGCCUCCUCGGCGCGUGCCACGUCGCCUACCGCCUCCGGGUUAGGCGACAAGCGGGCGUCGGGCGGGCGGGCCGGCGGCGAGCGAGCGAGGGCGGGCGGGCGGCGAGCAGGGGAGAGCCGGCUUGCACAGGUUGGACGCGGGCGCGCAGGCCGGUCCUCGGAGCGUGUGGGGGGCUCCCCACCCGGGCCGGGCUGCGGGACCCCGGGCCGGCCGCAUCUGGAUCCCGCCGGCCACCGCCGCCCGGGGCGGUCAGGGCCGCUCGCCGCCACCACGCUCGCCGCCCCCUCCACCUUGGCAGCGUCCACCUGGACAAAUACUUGUUUCUAG
rnacentral:lncRNA from 1 species